rnacentral:lncRNA from 1 species
CAAACUAAAACAGAUUUGAAACACUUUGAAACAAGAAACUAAAAGGGGGCUUUUGAUUUGGAUGAAGUUGAAACAAACAAACAAGUAUGAAAAACUAGACAGAUUGUAAAACGAAUGUGAGAAAUAAGAUGAUGGAUGGGAUAGCUAGAGGCUUUUUUGAAGGGAAAUUUAUGAGAUUUCUAGAAUGGGAUUUCAAAAUGACUAUCAUGCAUAUUCAAAUCAAAUUUAAUAUACGAAAGCAGCGGAAGCAUUUAAAACAUAUUAUCAAAGCUAUAGUCAUGCAAAUCCCCUUCAAGGUUCAUAGGUUUAUAUAUAAUGCAUCAAAACAUUUUAAAGAAUCAAGAACAAAGUGAAGGUUAGUCUUAUACCUCUUGAUCUAGACUUGAGACCAAGGAUGGACCACCUCCAAGCCCUUUGCUCCUUGAAAUCCUUGAGCCUAGCUUCCCUCCUUGCCUCCUCCACUUUGUUACAAUGAGUGCUCCUAGGUUCUCUUCAAGUUCCCAAAGUAGGAAACCUCUAAAGAUCCUCACCCACUAGUGUAGUGAGAAGGAUGAAGGAAUAACCAAAAGGGUGUAAGAGAUGUUAGUAAAAACCCCCUUUGGUGGCCGGCCUUUGUGUAGUUUAGAGAGCUAUUUUUCUUUUGCCUCUUUGUUGUUUUAACACACAAAAACCCUAAUGAACAAUAUCUUAUAAAGUUGCUUAUAUAGACAAAAAGAAAACCUAGUCAACACUUGACUAAAUAUCUCUCCAAAACCCACAUAAUAUGGCCGGCCCUCUUGUGUUGUUUUUGGGCUUUGGGCUUUUAUUAUUUCAAGUCAUCCAAUGCUUGAAUAAAAGCCCAAUGGGUUUAGGCCCAAUGGGCCUAAUUAAACCCGAACGUUUCUUUAAGCCCAAAACGAUCUUUAUCGCUUUUAUGAUUUCUCUAGACUUUUCUAAAUUAAUCACAACACAUAAUUAAUCCAAUUAAUUGUUUCCAUCAUCCAUUAGUUACUCACUACAAUAGUGUUGUGGUGAACAAUCUUUUAGGUUCUAAUUAGCAAGGCAGUGAGGUGAUUGGCAUCAAUCCAAUUGCUUAUAUUUAAUUCAAUCACUUAGUGAAUUAAAACUUCAUUUUAAUUCACCUUUCUUCUUUGACGACUACAUUUAAUCAUCUAGAAGAACUCACAAGCUAUGAGUGACAUCUAACCAUAUGUCAUAGCUACCCAAGCUAAUGUAGAAGUUUAUUCGAAGAACCUAGUCAGUUGGAAUUACAAUGUAAUUCAAUCCUUCUCUAAUACAAUACUCUCAAUCACAUUAUUAGGGUAUGGAUAUAUCAUGUCAAACCCCUAAUGUGAUUAUUCCUUCUUAUAUGAUCCAAUUGAGUCGUAUAGGAACGCUUUCCUUUAUUACGCUCGAUACUUCGGCCGAAGAUUCCCGAAUCAUAUCUUAGAGUAUUCUUCCUUUCUUAUCGAGGAUUAGAGAUUCCUUGUUGCACAUACACUUGCCUUCAUGACUAAGUGGCUUAACCCCAACUAUGCCGUUGACAUUCUAUUAGAGUGACGUUGACAUAAUCAAAGAUUAAGUACUUAACCACAAGACAACGACGAUGCCUCAGGUCAAAGGAUUACUUACAUUAUUCUAACCAUUUGAGUUACUUGCUUGACAUGUGAGUAGACCUCCAUGCAAGUACUCUGAUUCGAUUGUGUUCAGUGAACUCAUUCCCUUAAUGAGCACCUACAUACUUGUCUUAGUGUCACAACACGAAUGGGAUGAGACUUUCCAUCCUUCCAAUUGAAGCGGACACAGUAUGUACCGGUCUAAGCAUUGUCAGUAUCCCUCCGACAAUCCAACGACCAGGAACCUUUUGGACAUAAUGGUUAUGUGAAGAAGGUCUCUGUAGUCUAACAUCAUUAGAUUGCUUCUUCAAUCGAUCCAUUGUCCAUGGAUUCACUAUUCAGGACAUAUAUCGUUUAUUGAGAUAGUCCUAAUUAGUAUCUUUGCCAUUUGAUGUAUAAGAAUCAUCCAUACAUCGAUUCAUUUGUCCUGAAAGAUUUCUUCCAAAGAUUGACUUUCAGGGCAUAUUUCCAACAUUUUUCUCCACACAUGACAUGUAUGCAAAUAACUCGAUUUCCAGUUACUACUUCAUUGAAUUAUGAAUGACAAUGCUCCAAAUUAACCGUGGCAUCACUAGUUAACUCUCAGAUUUUCCUUGUUUUAUUGGAUUGGAUGACAUCAUUCGACAACCUAAAACAUUCUUCUAAAGUUCCUUACAUGACAUCAUAAUAGAGAUACAAUCAAAGAUCAUUACGUUUAAUGAAAAUCAUAAUCAUUGACAAAGCACUUGCAACUAUGACAUCAUGUCACUCAUGCUAGGAAUUGAACUUAACGCGAUCGU